rnacentral:rRNA from 1 species
ACGAACGCUGGCGGCGUGCCUAAUACAUGCCAGUAGAACGCACAGUUUAUACCGUAGCUUGCUACACCAUAGCCUGUGAGUUGCGAACGGGUGAGUAACGCGUAGGUAACCUGCCUGGUAGCGGGGGAUAACUAUUGGAAACGAUAGCUAAUACCGCAUAAUAUUGAUUAUUGCAUGAUAAUUGAUUGAAAGAUGCUAUUGCAUCACUACCAGAUGGACCUGCGUUGUAUUAGCUAGUAGGUGAGGUAACGGCUCACCUAGGCGACGAUACAUAGCCGACCUGAGAGGGUGAUCGGCCACACUGGGACUGAGACACGGCCCAGACUCCUACGGGAGGCAGCAGUAGGGAAUCUUCGGCAAUGGACGAAAGUCUGACCGAGCAACGCCGCGUGAGUGAAGAAGGGUUUCGGAUCGUAAAGCUCUGUUGUAAGAGAAGAACGGGUGUGAGAGUGGAAAGUUCACACUGUGACGGUAUCUUACCAGAAAGGGACGGCUAACUACGUG